UCCGUGUUAACCACGGCAGUCCCGCUAGAGUACCCGGCAUAACCCGCUGGCAACUAACGGUAGGGGUUUCGCUCGUUAAGGGACUUAACCCGACAUCUCACGACACGAGCUGACGACAGCCAUGCAGCACCUGUGCACGUUCCACUCUUUCGAGCGUCACUCCUGUUUCCAAGAGCUAAUCCGUGCAUGUCAAACCCAGGUAAGGUUUUGCGCGUUGCUUCGAAUUGAACCACAUGCUCCACCGCUUGUGUGAGCCCCCGUCAAUUCCUUUGAGUUUCGGCCUUGCGACUGUACUUCCCAGGCGGAGUACUUAAUACAUUAGCUCCAGCAGAGAAAGCAUGGCAGCUUCCUCUACCUAGUACUCAUCGUUUACGGCUUGGACUA
rnacentral:misc_RNA from 1 species